rnacentral:rRNA from 1 species
CGCGUAGGUGGCCUGAUAAGGGUGUGGUGAAAGUCCGGGGCUCAACCCCGGAUCGGCCGUGCCGACUGUUAGGCUAGAGUACUGUAGGGGCAGGCGGAAUUCCGGGUGUAGCGGUGGAAUGCGUAGAGAUCCGGAGGAAGACCGGUGGCGAAGGCGACCUGCUGGGCAGUUACUGACACUGAGGCGCGACAGCGUGGGGAAGCAAACAG